rnacentral:rRNA from 1 species
AUACGGAGGGGGUUAGCGUUGUUCGGAAUUACUGGGCGUAAAGCGCACGUAGGCGGACUGGAAAGUUGGGGGUGAAAUCCCGGGGCUCAACCCCGGAACUGCCUCCAAAACUUCCAAUCUAGAGAUCGAGAGAGGUGAGUGGAAUUCCAAGUGUAGAGGUGAAAUUCGUAGAUAUUUGGAGGAACACCAGUGGCGAAGGCGGCUCACUGGCUCGAUACUGACGCUGAGGUGCGAAAGCGUGGGAAGCAAACAGGAUUAGAAACCCUAGUAGUCC